UGCGGUAUUUUAACUGUACUAAGGUAGCAUAAUAAUUUGCCUUAUAAUUUGAGGCUAGAAUGAAUGGUUUGACGAAGGUUAAUCUGUCUCUACUUUAUUUUUUAGAAUUUAAUUUUAAAGUGAGAAAGCUUUAAUUUUUUAAAGGGACGAGAAGACCCUAUUGAGCUUAUAAUUUUAUUUUUAUUGUAAAUGUUUAUUUUUAUAAUAUUAUAUAAAUUUUAGUUGGGGUGAUUAAGGAAUAAAGUGGUAUGUAACUUCCUUAGUAUAACUGUUGUUAGAUAAAGUAACCAAUAUUUUAUUGCUUUUAUUAUAGUUACCAUAGGGA
rnacentral:rRNA from 1 species